AAGCUGGAGGACGAGGAGAUUGUCUCCUAUGUUCUCACCGGCCUCGGGGAGGACUUCGACUCCGUCGUCUCUGCGGUGACGGCGCGGGUCGAACCGAUCUCCGUCCAUGAACUCUAUGCUCAGCUGAUGAGUCAUGAGC
rfam:Sorghum bicolor cultivar BTx623 chromosome 3, whole genome shotgun sequence.